GGCGGCGUGCCUAAUACAUGCAAGUUGAGCGCUGAAGGUUGGUACUUGUACCAACUGGAUGAGCAGCGAACGGGUGAGUAACGCGUGGGGAAUCUGCCUUUGAGCGGGGGACAACAUUUGGAAACGAAUGCUAAUACCGCAUAAAAACUUUAAACACAAGUUUUAAGUUUGAAAGAUGCAAUUGCAUCACUCAAAGAUGAUCCCGCGUUGUAUUAGCUAGUUGGUGAGGUAAAGGCUCACCAAGGCGAUGAUACAUAGCCGACCUGAGAGGGUGAUCGGCCACAUUGGGACUGAGACACGGCCCAAACUCCUACGGGAGGCAGCAGUAGGGAAUCUUCGGCAAUGGACGAAAGUCUGACCGAGCAACGCCGCGUGAGUGAAGAAGGUUUUCGGAUCGUAAAACUCUGUUGGUAGAAAAAAACGUUGGUGAAAGUGGAAAGCUCAUCAAGUGACGGUAACUACCCAGAAAGGGACGGCUAACUACCUGCCAGCAGCCGCGGUAAUACGUAAGUCCCGAGCGUUGUCCGGAUUUAUUGGGCGUAAAGCGAGCGCAAGUGGUUUAUUAAGUCUGGUGUAAAAAGCAGUGGCUCAACCAUUGUAUGCAUUGGAAACUGGUAGACUUUAGUGCAAGAGAAGAAAAUGGAAUUUCAUGUGUAACCGGUGAAAUGCCUAAAUAUAUUGGAGGAACCACGGUUGGCGAAAGCCGCUCUCCUGGCUGUUACUGGACACUGAGGCUCGAAAGCGUGGGAGCAAACAGGAUUAGAUACCCUGGUAGUCCACGCGUAAACGAUGAGUGCUAGAUGUAGGGAGCUAUAAGUUCUCUGUAUCGCAGCUAACGCAAUAAGCACUCCGCCUGGGGAGUACGACCGCAAGGUUGAAACUCAAAGGAAUUGACGGGGGCCCGCACAAGCGGUGGAGCAUGUGGUUUAAUUCGAAGCAACGCGAAGAACCUUACCAGGUCUUGACAUACUCGUGCUAUUCCUAGAGAUAGGAAGUUCCUUCGGGACACGGGAUACAGGUGGUGCAUGGUUGUCGUCAGCUCGUGUCGUGAGAUGUUGGGUUAAGUCCCGCAACGAGCGCAACCCCUAUUGUUAGUUGCCAUCAUUAAGUUGGGCACUCUAACGAGACUGCCGGUGAUAAACCGGAGGAAGGUGGGGAUGACGUCAAAUCAUCAUGCCCCUUAUGACCUGGGCUACACACGUGCUACAAUGGAUGGUACAACGAGUCGCGAGACAGUGAUGUUUAGCUAAUCUCUUAAAACCAUUCUCAGUUCGGAUUGUAGGCUGCAACUCGCCUACAUGAAGUCGGAAUCGCUAGUAAUCGCGGAUCAGCACGCCGCGGUGAAUACGUUCCCGGGCCUUGUACACACCGCCCGUCACACCACGGGAGUUGGGAGUACCCGAAGUAGGUUGCCUAACCGCAAGGAGGGCGCUUCCUAAGGUAAGACCGAUGACUGGGGUGAAGUCGUAACAAGGUA
rnacentral:rRNA from 1 species